AGAGUUUGAUCAUGGCUCAGGAUGAACGCUGGCGGCGUGCCUAACACAUGCAAGUCGAGCGAACUCUCCGGAGUGAGCGGCGGACGGGUGAGUAACGCGUGGGUAACCUGCCCUGUACACAUGGAUAACAUACCGAAAGGUAUGCUAAUACAAGAUAAAAUAUAUUUAUCGCAUGAUAGAUAUAUCAAAGCGUUAGCGGUACAGGAUGGACCCGCGUCUGAUUAGCUAGUUGGUAAGGUAAAGGCUUACCAAGGCGACGAUCAGUAGCCGACCUGAGAGGGUGAUCGGCCACAUUGGAACUGAGACACGGUCCAAACUCCUACGGGAGGCAGCAGUGGGGAAUAUUGCACAAUGGGCGAAAGCCUGAUGCAGCAACGCCGCGUGAGCGAUGAAGGCCUUCGGGUCGUAAAGCUCUGUCCUCAAGGAAGAUAAUGACGGUACUUGAGGAGGAAGCCCCGG
rnacentral:rRNA from 1 species